UCGGAAUCUUCAUCGACCGUGAGGUCUCAGAAAUCACCCCCAAAACCUCGAAACGGAUUUCAUCCAAGACAACGAAAUGCAUAGAAACAUAGUCGGAUCGUCGUCGAGGCUCUGAUACCAUGUUAACAUCGAGAUUAAGCCGAGAAAUCAUGUAGAUUGUAGAGAGAGAAAGUAGAGAGAAAGAGGAGUAUUUGAGAAGUUUCUGGAACUCAGAGACAGUUUAUUAAACCAAGAACAGAAAGAAAAAUGAAG
rnacentral:lncRNA from 1 species